UACGAAGGGUGCAAGCGUUACUCGGAAUUACUGGGCGUAAAGCGUGCGUAGGUGGUUUGUUAAGUCUGUUGUGAAAGCCCCGGGCUCAACCUGGGAAUGGCAAUGGAUACUGGCAGGCUAGAGUGCGGUAGAGGGUAGUGGAAUUCCCGGUGUAGCGGUGAAAUGCGUAGAGAUCGGGAGGAACACCAGUGGCGAAGGCGGGUCUCUGGGCCGAUACUGACGCUGAGGAGCGAAAGCGUGGGGAGCGAACAGG
rnacentral:rRNA from 1 species